rnacentral:rRNA from 1 species
UGCGUAGGUGGUUUUCUAAGUUUGGUGUGAAAUCUCCCGGCUCAACUGGGAGGGAGCGCCGAAAACUGGAGGGCUGGAGUGUGGGAGAGGAAAGCGGAAUUCCUGGUGUAGCGGUGAAAUGCGUAGAUAUCAGGAGGAACACCUGCGGUGUAGACGGCUUUCUGGACCACUACUGACACUGAGGCACGAAAGCGUGGGGAGCAAACAGGAUUAGAUACCCUGGUAGUCCACGCCCUAAACGAUGCACACUUGGUGUGAGCCAUUCAUUUGGUUCGUGCCGGAGCUAACGCGUUAAGUGUGCCGCCUGGGGAGUACGGUCGCAAGGCUGAA